rnacentral:ncRNA from 1 species
GAGAGCACAAUACAAUGAAAGUUGUUCAUUGUGUUUGGGGGGGAUGUCUCUCCUCCCUAUGGUAGAAACCAUAGGUCGGGGAGGCUUGAGAGAUGGUGACCCUGU